rnacentral:rRNA from 1 species
GACGUCCACUUACUUGGAGUCCGACUCUCACUUUCUACCCUGUGCACUUGUUUGGGAUAGUAACUCUCGCAAGAGAGCGAACUCCUAUUCACUUAUAAACACAAAGUCUAUGAAUGUAUUAAAUUUUAUAACAAAAUAAAACUUUCAACAACGGAUCUCUUGGCUCUCGCAUCGAUGAAGAACGCAGCGAAAUGCGAUAAGUAAUGUGAAUUGCAGAAUUCAGUGAAUCAUCGAAUCUUUGAACGCACCUUGCGCUCCAUGGUAUUCCGUGGAGCAUGCCUGUUUGAGUGUCAUGAAUACUUCAACCCUCCUCUUUCUUAAUGAUUGAAGAGGUGUUUGGUUUCUGAGCGCUGCUGGCCUUUACGGUCUAGCUCGUUCGUAAUGCAUUAGCAUCCGCAAUCGAACUUCGGAUUGACUUGGCGUAAUAGACUAUUCGCUGAGGAAUUCUAGUCUUCGGAUUAGAGCCGGGUUGGGUUUAAAGGAAGCUUCUAAUCAGAAUGUCUACAUUUUAAGAUUAGAUCUCAAAUCAGGUAGGACUACCCGCUGAACUUAAGCAUCAAUAUAAAAGGCCGGGAAGGGA